rnacentral:rRNA from 1 species
UACGUAGGGGGCAAGCGUUGUCCGGAUUUAUUGGGCGUAAAGAGCGUGUAGGCGGUUUGGUAGGUCCGCUGUGAAAACUCGAGGCUCAACCUCGAGACGCCGGUGGAAACCAUCAGACUAGAGUCCGGAAGAGGAGAGUGGAAUUCCUGGUGUAGCGGUGAAAUGCGCAGAUAUCAGGAAGAACACCCGUGGCUAAGGCGGCUCUCUAGUACGGUACUGACGCUGAGACGCGAAAGCAUGGGGAGCAAACAGG